UACGUAGGGGGGCAAGCGUUGUCCGGAAUCAUUGGGCGUAAAGCGCGUGUAGGCGGCCCGGUAAGUCCGCUGUAAAAGUCCAGGGCUCAACCCUGGAAAGCCGGUGGAUACUGUCGGGCUCGAGUCCGGAAGAGGCGAGUGGAAUUCCUGGUGUAGCGGGUGAAAUGCGCAGAUAUCAGGAGGAACACCGAUGGCGAAGGCAGCUCGCUGGGACGGUACUGACGCUGAGACGCGAAAGCGUGGGGAGCAAACAGG
rnacentral:rRNA from 1 species